AGAGUUUGAUCAUGGCUCAGAACGAACGCUGGCGGCAUGCCUAACACAUGCAAGUCGAACGAAGCCUUCGGGCUUAGUGGCGCACGGGUGCGUAACGCGUGGGAAUCUGCCCUUGGGUUCGGAAUAACAGUUAGAAAUGACUGCUAAUACCGGAUGAUGACGAAAGUCCAAAGAUUUAUCGCCCAAGGAUGAGCCCGCGUAGGAUUAGGUAGUUGGUGGGGUAAUGGCCUACCAAGCCGACGAUCCUUAGCUGGUCUGAGAGGAUGAUCAGCCACACUGGGACUGAGACACGGCCCAGACUCCUACGGGAGGCAGCAGUGGGGAAUAUUGGACAAUGGGCGAAAGCCUGAUCCAGCAAUGCCGCGUGAGUGAUGAAGGCCCUCGGGUCGUAAAGCUCUUUUACCAGGGAUGAUAAUGACAGUACCUGGAGAAUAAGCUCCGGCUAACUCCGUGCCAGCCGCCGCGGUAUAC
rnacentral:rRNA from 1 species